rnacentral:lncRNA from 1 species
CAGGUUCAAGAGAUUCUUCUGCCUCAGCCUCCCAAGUAGCUGGCACUGCAGACACGCACCACCACACCCAGGCUACACAGAACAACAUCAUUAGCAACAUUGUUUCAGCAAGGAAAUAAUCCUUAUUGGCAAAGGGAAACCAAGGAAAGAAAACUAUUGUUUUCUUCGGCUACAUGCUGUCUGCAAAGCACCCCAUGGAUUCAAUUUCUCAUCAAUUCAGAAUGGAAUACUAACGUGCUGCCUAGAGAUACAGAAGUGGGAUGAACGCAGGGCCUUACUCAGCAUUCAGAACAAAACUGUGAGUAAACUUUCGGGCAUGACAUGCUUAGAGUCAGUCAUAGAGGAAAAAUAGAAGCCUCAAGUUCUAUUCAGAGACAUCAACUUACCAAAGUUUAGGCUAGUAUAUUCGUCAUUUGCACUGGUGCUUUCCAAAGACCCGGAUGCGACAUUAGCAAAGUCUUCUCAUGACCAUUCGUGUGCAAUAAAUUCAUAAAGGUAAAA